rnacentral:rRNA from 1 species
GGGGGGCUGCUCCUAGUACGAGAGGACCGGAGUGGACGCAUCACUGGUGUUCGGGUUGUCAUGCCAAUGGCACUGCCCGGUAGCUAAAUGCGGAAGAGAUAAGUGCUGAAAGCAUCUAAGCACGAAACUUGCCCCGAGAUGAGUUCUCCCUGAGACUUAGAGUCUCCUGAAGGAACGUUGAAGACGACGACGUUGAUAGGCCGGGUGUGUAAGCGCAGCGAUGCGUUGAGCUAACCGGUACUAAUGAACCGUGAGGCUUAACCUUAC